CUUUAGACAUAAAAUUUGGACACUCUUACAAAAAUGGAAAAAAGUUGAAAGAGAAAAUAUGUAUUUUGGUGCUGUUGGGGUCUCUGCGCGGUACUUUUAGCUGCUGUUUGGUGACAGGAACAGCAAUGCUGUUGUUGCUGUUUGUAUGUUGGUGGUUUUUUGUCAGCUAGCAGUUUGGUUUUGGGGGUGUGUCGGUGCCUCGUGCGGCCAUCUCCCACACUUGUAUGUUGGUAUCCAUUGAACUAUCUUGACCCCACCAACAAAUUGCUCAUUUUUAUUGGUGGGUAAAUUACCCACCAUUCUUCAUAGGUAAAUGAUGUAAUAGUAGAGGUGGUGGAAGGUGAUGCUAGAAAUGUUCUCUGUGAUACAGUGGAAAAGUACCGUGCUUCAAUCUUGGUUGUGGGUAGUCACGGUUAUGGGGCUAUAAAAAGGGCGGUUUUAGGUAGUGUGAGUGACUACUGUGCUCAUCAUGCUCAUUGCACUGUGAUGAUUGUGAAGAAGCCAAAAACCAAGCACUGAUCUAUAUUGGCAUAUCCUGCAAGAAUAAAUAUAUAAUCCUUUCAGCAGAAGUGAAAUAGCAAUGUUCUCAGAAAGUUUGUGACUUAGUUUAUCCUAUGGCAUGUUUGGUUUGUAGUUUAUGAUAGAAAAUAUGCAAUUGUGUGGAUUGUUGUUGCCUCCUACCCGGGGGCCUUAUUUUAUUCUGUAUAUG
rnacentral:lncRNA from 1 species